UACGAAAGGACCAAGCGUUACUCGGAAUCACUGGGCGUAAAGCGCGCGUAGGCGGCUUUGUAUGUCGAUUGUGAAAUCCCCGGGCUCAACCUGGGAACUGCCUUUGUGACUGCAUAGCUAGAGUACGGUAGAGGGGGAUGGAAUUCCGCGUGUAGCAGUGAAAUGCGUAGAUAUGCGGAGGAACACCGAUGGCGAAGGCAAUCCCCUGGACCUGUACUGACGCUCAUGCACGAAAGCGUGGGGAGCAAACAGG
rnacentral:rRNA from 1 species